rnacentral:other from 1 species
UUUUUCCUACCCUGUUCGCGAAUCGCGAGCCAUUAUAACCCUACAACUAUUUUAAUGGGAGCCUGACUCCUGUGGUGGGCUUGCAGACCUCCCGACCAUGUCGGAAGAAGGGAGCGCAAAGCCAUGGGGAAGGCACCCACCUGCUUGCUGCAGGUUAUCAACGGCCGUCUACGGCAGGGUGGGAAUUGU